GGUAUACAUGGUUGAAAAAUCAUAAGUUUUGAUAGAACUUAUUUUAGAGAAAGAUCGAGAUCUAAAAUUAUCCGGAAGUUCUUUUUAGAAUUCACAUGUGGUUAAUACCACUUGCACGAAAUCAGUUACACCAGUUUUGGUGUUGUUUGUGUUUCUUAGUUUUUAGUUUUCUAUGUUGUGUCUUGUGUACUAUCAUUUGUCUUCAUGUCUUUUUCUUUUCUUAGCCAUGGCGUGGUCAGUUUAUUUUGAUCUAGGAAUUUGACUGUCCUUCUUGUAACUUUCCCCCAUUUUUCACAGUAUUUCUUGGGAUUAUACCACAAAUUGGAUGCACUGUCUAAAGCUGGCAGUAGAUCGCGGCUUGGCUGUGUUGUCUAUGUUAUUUUGAUUUUUCCUCAGGAAAAGUUGAAAUGUGGCUGAUCUGUCUAGGUUCUUUUGAUGUUCCCUAAGAUAACUAUUUAACAUAAAGUGGCAAAUCAAAAGCACAUUCACGACGAUAGGAUGUUAGCGUUAUACGAAUAUGAAUCCUACUAUGCAUGAAAUCGAAACGAUGCUAAUUCACAAGGUUAUACUAGUUAGUCUGUGUGAUAACAUGUCGUCCCGACAGAUUAUUCUGACUCCGAGCGGACCAGUAUUUGCGGUCCCUCCUUAAUGCCGCGUUCUUUUUAAAGAAAAAAAGAGUACCAAUUCUAAAGUAUUUGGUUCAACCCGGCCUGAGUUCAACUCAUGACCUCCCACACACGAUGCAGACACGCUAACACAAGACCAUCGCGGC
rnacentral:lncRNA from 1 species